AUGAUGUAUGAACAUUGUAUGUUUGUUAAUUAUGUCAAAAUUAGGAUUAAAAGGACUAAAGUCCAACAAGUUUUAUCUGUUCUCUCUUGAAUCAAAAUGAUUUGCUUAUUUUCCAAACAGUCUUAUUGUGAGAGAAGAAAGUGCACAAACAGGAAGAACAGUAGCAAGAAUAUGAGGUGCGUCCUGUCAAUUAUUUUUGUACAAAAGAGCUCAGAUAUUUGCAGCUGAUUUACGGGAUGCGUUUAGCGACCAAGGAUAUGAUGAGUUUAAAGACAUCAGCUCUCUAACUAUAACGGCUGACUACAUCGUCCCAGCUGUGCUUCGGCAGCUUGGCAUUUUAAAACUCAGUCCAACACUUGCCAGUACAAUUGAGACCAGUGGAGAAAUAGGUCCAGGGACUGAGGAGGAAGUUGAACUACGGGAUUGCUCUAUACAUGCGGUGGAGAAAAUGAGGGAGCUGAUAAGUGUAAUAUCAGGAAGACAGGAACCUAUUAUCAGAACAUGGCAUGGAAUUAUGUGUCUGAUGCUGUGUAUGGAGACUAGGACAAGCCAGCUCUUAUCACUUAUCCUGAUUUGGGUUUAAAUUGUAGGUUAAAUGGGUUUUGGUUUUUUUUUAUAGAACCCUUGACUCUCUUUUCUUAUAAUUAGAGGGCUUUGCAUAUAUCUUGAUUUAUUUAUUUUUUCUUAAUUUUUA